AGUUCUCAAGUUGUAAUUACGAGUUCUACGAGGACGUGAAUGCUUUUUAUAAGUUGGAAUCUUGUAAUUACGGGAAUUCCAAUAUGGCGUGAACGCACCAUUAGUUAAUCACUUGAUGGGUGUUUAUAUUCGCUUAACCAAAAUCAAAACAAGCAAACUACACACAGUGCAACAGGUAACGUUAGGCUAAAACGCCCCAUGUGACGCAAUUAUUCUAGAAGCAUUUUGCAGCAGUAAAAACACAGUUUUAUGACUUCUGUUCUCCAAACUAAAAUUCCAGUAUCAUCAUAUUUUUGUUGUAUCUGCUGGGUGAACAAGUGAACGCAAUAAACCCAGACUUGCAUAUAUUAGACAACAAGAUAUAGUCAACUAACUUAUGAAGAGCUUUAACAGUAUUUUCAGGACUGAUAUUUUCAGACGAGUGGGAAAUCAAAGACUGGAAUGCUGGGGAAACUGACAAAGGGGUGAGCUCUGGAAAGGAGGACAGAUACUUCCUGUUCCUGCUGGAGUGACCCGCAGGUCUGAGGAGGAGUGAGGGAGAGGAAGGCAGAGAAAGCGAUACCCUGUGAAACCUGCUGGUGUAAACUUACCUCUGAUUGGGACUCACUGAUGUAAUGGACAAACAAGCACAAAAUGUGUCGAUAUCCACAUCAAAUCUCCCAGGGUUCUUUUAAAGUGAUUUGCAUACAGCUUCACCCUUGGCCAGAGUGCAGUAGUGAAACUGGAAGUGACAGUGCCAGGUUUGCCCUGUUCUGUUUCUAUCCUAGUAUUAAUCCAGCAGCCCCUCUACUCUUUAAGAAA